GGGCCCUGAGGCGCCGGGCUGGGCUGGGCUGGGCUGCCCCCUGCUGCCAGACGCAGCUGGU
rnacentral:miRNA from 1 species